rnacentral:lncRNA from 1 species
AACAGCCUUCCUAGCUGCAAGUUUAAUCUCAGUUCUAUGCCGCAAAACAAGCUCGUUGACUCAGAUGAUCCGAGAUUGAAGGAUGCAUCAGAAGCGAUAAGACACAGGCAAUAUGCUUCACUGUUUCUCACAGACAACAGUCUGAGGAGUUCCCCCAUCCAUAGAAGGACACACAUUGCAUAUUUUGUAAGAAAGAAAGAAAGAAAGAAAGAAAGAAAGAAAGAAAGAAAGAAAGAAAGAAAGAAAGAAAGAAAGAAAGAAAGAAAGAAAGAAAGAAAGAAAGAAAGAAAGAAAGAAAGAAAGAACUAAGGGUGCAAUUGGAUAGCUUCAAAAGUGCAAUCCUGAACUUCUGUCUGUUGGGGAAUCACUCCAAUGUGGUCCUAGAAAGUUAAAACCCUACAACUGGACAAAAAAGGUCCAGGUUGGCCACCCAUUGCCAUCAGACUGGACUGCAUUUUGCUGUAUGGUUGUGUCCUUGCCAGGAAACAGAUCACGCCAGACGACUCCACAAGCGAUCCAACCUGUGAUGUGUUUCCCUAUGUGAUCCCUUCCCUUCAUGAACCAGUUAAGCCCAAGUAGCUGACUCAAACAGAUUUAUCAGCUCUUAGGAUCCUGGCUGUGUCUCAGGGACUUGGUUUGCCUCUCUGGGCCUCCAGUAGUAUGAGCAACACUGUAGGAGUUCACAGAUCAACAAGAACAAAAAUAGAGGCAGGGGAAGCUGUGUGGUCUCAGCUCAGAGGAGCGAGAUUCGGAUUCCACCUCUGACAGUGUGGAUUGGAAUGUCCCUCCCAAGCUGCUUUGACAAAGAAGGCAGCUGGACACUCAGUACACAGCACCUCUGAGCAGACACUAUAGUCCCCAUUUUGAGAUUUGGUUAAGCAGAAAAGCCUGCCCUAUACAUAGGACCAAGGUUUUUGGAGCAUUCAUGUUUUUUCUUUCUGCAUGAUGCACAGCUCCGUGGUGCCCAGACGGAUGGAGAUCUGUACAAAUUAAAAGCCUGCUUCUGCCUGUAAUUUUUUUAAUAUAUAGGUCUAAUAAAGCUCCUAGAUCAAAUCA